rnacentral:rRNA from 1 species
GACGAACGCUGGCGGCGUGCUUAACACAUGCAAGUCGAGCGAGGCCCCUCCUUCGGGAGGGUGUCCUAGCGGCGAACGGGUGAGUAACACGUGGGCAACCUGCCCUCAGCUCUGGGAUAACUCCGGGAAACCGGGGCUAAUACCGGAUACGACCUCCACGGGCAUCUGCGGAGGUGGAAAGUUUUUCGGCUGGGGAUGGGCCCGCGGCCUAUCAGCUAGUUGGUGGGGUAGUGGCCCACCAAGGCGACGACGGGUAGCCGGCCUGAGAGGGUGACCGGCCACACUGGGACUGAGACACGGCCCAGACUCCUACGGGAGGCAGCAGUGGGGAAUAUUGCGCAAUGGGCGAAAGCCUGACGCAGCGACGCCGCGUGAGGGACGAAGGCCUUCGGGUUGUAAACCGCUUUCGGCAGGGACGAAGCGAAAGUGACGGUACCUGGAGAAGAAGCACCGGCCAACUACGUG